rnacentral:rRNA from 1 species
UGGCGAACGGGUGAGUAACACGUGGGUGAUCUGCCCUGCACUUCGGGAUAAGCCUGGGAAACUGGGUCUAAUACCGGAUAGGAGCCAUUUUUAGUGUGAUGGUUGGAAAGUUUUUUCGGUGUAGGAUGAGCUCGCGGCCUAUCAGCUUGUUGGUGGGGUAAUGGCCUACCAAGGCGGCGACGGGUAGCCGGCCUGAGAGGGUGGACGGCCACAUUGGGACUGAGAUACGGCCCAGACUCCUACGGGAGGCAGCAGUGGGGAAUAUUGCACAAUGGGCGCAAGCCUGAUGCAGCGACGCCGCGUGGGGGAUGACGGCCUUCGGGUUGUAAACUCCUUUCGCUAGGGACGAAGCUUUUUGUGACGGUACCUAGAUAAGAAGCACCGGCUAACUACGUGCCAGCAGCCGCGGUAAUACGUAGGGUGCGAGCGUUGUCCGGAAUUACUGGGCGUAAAGGGCUCGUAGGUGGUUUGUCGCGUCGUCUGUGAAAUUCCGGGGCUUAACUCCGGGCGUGCAGGCGAUACGGGCAUAACUUGAGUACUGUAGGGGUAACUGGAAUUCCUGGUGUAGCGGUGAAAUGCGCAGAUAUCAGGAGGAACACCGAUGGCGAAGGCAGGUUACUGGGCAGUUACUGACGCUGAGGAGCGAAAGCAUGGGUAGCGAACAGGAUUAGAUACCCUGGUAGUCCAUGCCGUAAACGGUGGGCGCUAGGUGUGAGGGUCUUUUCACGACUUUCGUGCCGUAGCUAACGCAUUAAGCGCCCCGCCUGGGGAGUACGCCGCAAGGCUA